rnacentral:rRNA from 1 species
AGCGAACGCUGGCGGCAGGCCUAACACAUGCAAGUCGAACGAAGUCUUCGGACUUAGUGGCGGACGGGUGAGUAACACGUGGGGACGUACCUUUUGGCUCGGAACAACUCAGGGAAACUUGAGCUAAUACCGGAUGAGCCCUUAGGGGGAAAGAUUUAUCGCCGAAAGAGCGGCCCGCGAUAGAUUAGCUAGUUGGUGAGGUAAGGGCUCACCAAGGCUACGAUCUAUAGCUGGUCUGAGAGGAUGAUCAGCCACACUGGGACUGAGACACGGCCCAGACUCCUACGGGAGGCAGCAGUGGGGAAUCUUGCGCAAUGGGCGAAAGCCUGACGCAGCCAUGCCGCGUGAAUGAUGAAGGUCUUAGGAUUGUAAAAUUCUUUUACCAGGGACGAUAAUGACGGUACCUGGAGAAAAAGCCCCGGCUAACUUCGUGCCAGCCGCCGCAGUAAUAC